UCCGCUACGCCAGCCUCCAGCCGCAGGCUGCGAGCUUCCCAGCCGCUAGACGCCGGCGGCGGGACUUCCGGCCGUUCGGCUCCCGCAAAAUGGCGGCCGCCGUGAGGGUUUUGACGUUUCGUUUUCCUCUCCGUAAAUUCAGGUGUAGAAGCCUCUUGCCUUUCCGCCUAACCCCAGCCUCGUGUGGUCUGUCAAGUCCUCUCUUGAUUAGCCUAGUCGUUUUUAUAGCACAGUUUAAAGCAAGGUCUUUAAUCGUGGGUCAGACUCCUGCCUUUCACCUUUCUCAAGGCAGUGUGACCUUGACCUUCCUAAAUCAGAGACUAAAAUGUCUGUAAAGCUUUAGCCCUGUGCUUGGUUUAGAAUAAGCAUCCAGACCCUGACUGCUUGUGUUUUCUAUUGUCGGGGGAACGACAUCCAUAUCCCCUCAGUGUACUGAGCGGAAACUGUAUUGGUGGAAAACUUACAGAGCAGGAACUGAAUAUAUAGAACCUGAAUUCUGCUCCUGUUCUCACUUCACCCUUGUUCUCUAUCUUCUUAACUUUUAAUAGCUUCCCUGUUUCCCUUGAACCUGGAUGCUAUUUUUUUUUAAUCUCCUGAUUAUAUCUCAAAGCUAAAAGGAUUUGUGUUUAGAAAGUAUGGAGAUUAAUUCAAUUAAAUAAAUAUUUAUUCAGCUUUGACUUCUAGCGGAAUACUGGAAGAUAGACCUGGAAAGGUAAGUUAGGGUGAACCUGUAGGAAGUUCCUUAGGUUAGCCUUACAGUUUGGACCCAUCCUCUGACCACAGUAAAACCAUCAAAUUCUUUUUUCAUGAAAACAUGUCUUAGUGAUCACACUAUUUUCGGAUAUGCAAUCUGGAAGCUUUCCCAGGAUUAGCUGAAAGACUGAAAGCAGGAAAAACAUGACUUUGGGAAAAACCAAGCCACGAGGAAAUAAAGAUGUACCCUGGGGAGGUGGUAAUGAAAAGAAUGAAAGAGGCUUGAGAGACAUUACAAAAGGAGAACUGAUGGGACUGGAUUACUGAUAGGGCAAGAAAAGGAAGGAGAUAAUGAAGGAAGAUACUAGCAGCCAUCUAGGGACCAUGAGAGGAACCAGUCUUAGAAUGAUGCAGACACCAAGGAAAGCACAGCAGAGGGAAGGAAAUAAACGGGUCCUUGAUGACAUAUUGAGUUGUAGGAUCAGCUUCACCUGAAGCCAGUCAACCUGUGGACUUCGCACUCAUGAGGAAUCACCUGCUUGUAUGGAAGUAGGAACAGCUGAACUGGGUGGCCUGGAUUACAGGGCUCCAAGAACAGAGAAGCGAUGCACUUUGCCAGAUUCAGAAUCCAACUAGAGGACCUUAAAGUGAAUGACCCACCCAUCAAAGAUAUUCCUGUCUGGAAGUCUUGGCUCAGGUCUCUGAUGGAGGUGGGAGGCAUGCCCAGCCCUGGUUCGUCUCUCAAGGAGUCUUCAGUGCCUAAUCUGAUUCCACGACCCAUCAGCUUUCAAAGGGAUUAUGGAGAGCUCUCUUGGCAUUAUGGAUGGACAAGAACCAGGAUGAGGUUGUCCAAGCUCCAGAGGGCUGAAGGCAAUGAGGCAAUCAAUGCAAGAGGAGAAGCAGAAAAGGCUGCUCAACCCAAGAAGAAGCCAAAGUAGCCUGGAAUGGAAUCUUCAGUAUCUCCGAAGUAAGCCUGUACAGCUCAAGUCCGCUGAAGAUCAGAGCUUUCUAAGCCAAGAUGUUUUGUUUCCGUCCGCCACACUUAAUGGGGUGACAAUAACUCUCCCAGAGGAUGCCUGACAGAAGCACAGAGAUGAGUACACAAGGAGGAAACUCAGAUUCCUCACUCUCAAAGGACUCUUAAGAGGUUCAGACUUAUAUUUGUGACACACACCAUGUACCUCUGAGAACACGGUAUCAGCUGAAAGAAUGAAAAACAGAGGCACAUUUUGGAGAAGUACUGGGAUAGCUGACGUCCAAGGUUCUUUUAACUCUCAAUUCUUUGAGAUACGAGUCUAGCCUCACAAGGAGUUUCAUGAUGCCAAGCCAUGGCAGAAUUCCUAGAAGUGGAGCUUCCAAGGAUUAGUGACCUAGAGUCUUCUACUUUGCCUGGUGCCACUUGAUGGUACAGACUUUAUUCUUCUCAACUAACGUAGGGCCUGGAGUCCAAGGGACACUCAAUACAUGAAUAAAUACAUGCAGGCCUGAGGCUGGACAGAGGUGGAGGCCUGCAGCUAUUAUCUCCUUCGCUCUCCACUAACCUCGGGAAAACACAGAACUUGAUCACCUACCAGCUCCAUAGGACCUUGUUUCCUGCUGUCGCCUCAGCAUCUAGAACAGCAUCUGACUCCUGGUGUUCCCAGAUCCGCGUCAGUUUCUCCGAAUAAGGAAUUUUAAGGACGAAUGAGACUGCAGAGAUCAGAGUCCACACCAUCAUUUACAGAAGAGGAAACGGGGGUCCAGAGAGGUUAAGUGACCUGCCUCUGUCACACAGCAGGCAGCAGCAGAGCUGGUGCCAGAAGCCCGGUCUCUCUCUCCAUGGUCUAGUGUCAUUAUGGCCUUAAGCCUCAUUUUAAGUUCAGAGGAGGAUUUCACUUAAUUCCUCUCUAUAAGCAUAAGAAGAGGUGGAAGGAAGAGGGGUAGAGAGAAGGCUGUGAUGUGGAGGGAAGCAGUUGAGGGUAGGGUUUGUAUUGCUGUUGGGGAUGUUAUUAUAAUCAAAGGCCGAAGAAAAGUGGAUUGAGACCCCGAGGCAAAUAAAGAUAAUCACAAUCCUGGACUUCAAAGAGAAUUUUAAAUGCGUAUAUCACCCUAUUCAAUACAUAGACCAGUCCCAGCCUAAUGACAGAGUAAAACAAUAAUCAACAGUCUCCGGACCAAUCAGAUGAAGAAUCCUCCAUGUUAAUCUACAGAAACAGAAAAUGAAGGACGGACAGAGAUUAUAGUACAACACGGUGGUUCUCACCAGUCUGGGUAAAGCCGUAAAGAAUCACAGCCAACGACCCUCCUAUGGUGACCCCAAAUCAACAGAGACUGAAUAAGGGCAACAGUGACAUGUAUAAAAUAUAAGAACAAUUGUUUUUUAUAAUUCUGGUUUCUCAAGUUGUGUUUCCAUGACUACCUGUUAUGGUUCAGUAUUUCCCUGGUAGUAGAAACAUAUUUUAGAAUACUGUAUUCCUUCCAUUCUAAAACACCACCUUCUUCAAUAGCAAAAUACCCCCCUUAUAGCUUUUUCGGGGGAAAAGGAAACAGUACCAAAUUAAAUGUAUGCAUUUAUUGUAAGAGAAAUUCUACGUGCAACUUGUUAAAAUAUGGGAAUUAUGUGAUUUAAAAGAGCAGAAACAAAGGAAUUAACUUCUUCCCCAUAAACUUAUCAGUACAGCUACAUAGAGGGAUGAUCAUUUAAAAAUAAUCUCAGAAACAGAGAAAUUAAAAACAAAUUUUGUACUAUUCUAUGUCCUGCUAAUAUAAAUUGGUAUAAUUUUACUUGGGGAAAUAUUUGCAAUACAUUUCCUUAUGUUUUGGCAGCUCAGCCUCCACUGACCCUACUUACAAUGAUGUCCUUCCGUUUUCGUUUGGAGACGCAUCCCUCCCUCCCUCCCUCCCUCCCUCCUUCCCAGACCCUGUGGGUCCAGAGGAAUUCACUCCCAUUCCAGAUACACGAAGAGCUGGCUCGUAGGAUCCUUGCAUUCAUGUGGCCCCAGAGACUUUUCUGGCGAUGGCCUGUGACCUCAUCAGAACCAAGGGAAUUUGUGGCCAGAGGAGAGGACUCUUCCUGAGGGGUGAGACUGGAGUUGGAUCUGUGAAGAUGGAGGGGCUGGAAUUGGCUCACUCAUCCUCUCACCCACAUGGGGUUUGAAAAUGAGACCAACAAAGUGGGGAGCUGGGGAUGGAGAAAACCCAGCUGUUGACGUUGUUGGCUGAAUCCAUCUAUACCUGAAGCUAGCUCUAUUUUGGACUUUUAACUUACACUAGCAAAUAAAUUCUCUAUUUUGUUUAAGCUAGUGUGAUCAGGUUUUCUAUCACUGGCAAUACAAACACUCUUAUGUGAUACAGAAAUCAGUACUAGAAGUGAAUGUUGAAUGUGACUAACCCUAAAAUGUGCAACUGGCUGAUUUAAGGUUGGACGACAGCUAGUGCAGGCUCUCCUGCACUAGGAGGUUGACCAUCCUGGCUAUGUGAUGGCAACACUGCUGGUUAUGGUGCCACCUAUUGAAUCCUGGGUCUAAGACCACGAGCCUCCUGAAGGUGCACCAUUAAAGGAUUUGGAGAUGAAAUUUAGAAGGUUGGAGUGUGUCAGCUACUUGCAGCCUUCAGUGAGAGCCACAGGAAAGAGAUAAACAUAGGAUGAAACUGAUUGGAAGCCCAGAGGCAGGGAAAAAGGGCUUUGUUAAUAGAGGCCUUUUUUUUUUCCUGUGAGGUGCAACCAAGAUGGUUGAAGAGUCAAAUAAUCUGGAGCUUUGUGGGCUUAAAAACCCAAAUUCUCAACACUAUGCUAACAUUAGAUAGAGCAAGGCCAGACGGUAAGAACAAUAUCAGGAAAGAAGUUUGAAACCUAGGAGAAGCCUGAUUCCCCAUCGUCUCUCCAAAGAGACUGUGGUCUCUCAUCUGAGCAGAAGGCCCGUUACAUUCAUUGUGAUACACUGGUUUCCAUCUCAGGAGCGAGGAGUAAAUUAUUAGUGGCUUCACCACCUCAGGCCACUGUUUCAAACUGUACCUAAUCAGAGGCCACAAAAUUUGGGAGCAGAGGAUGGUUCAUUUGCUGGGAGACAGAAAUGCCCAGGCUUGGCUUCACAUUCAAAGAGUACGACUCAACGCAAUCCUGAGUUUUGUUCACUAGUCCAUGGAGUUCAGGCAUUAGAGAAUCCUACCACGUUUUUAAGUACUAGAGGAUAAAGCCCCAGAAUGGUCGAAAACAGUUUAUGAUUGCUCAAAUCCUAAGUCAAUCCCUAGAUCCCCGAAGCCAGGAGAACAGGGUGUAUGUAGGCCGUGGAACAGGUGCAGCCCUGCUCUUAGAGACGGCUCUGAAGGCAACAGAUAAGGAAGACCCACCCAGAGAGCAGGAGGUUAAGCCACUGGAUGACCAAAGUCCUCAUUCUGUUGCCACACAGCUAGAAUCUGUUCAGUGGGUUAUAAAAUAUGCUAGAGACAGGAGAGCAAUGUCUCCGCUCCUUUCCCAAAUGGAAGUUUAAUUGUGAAAUUCUUCUACUGCUCUCCCUCCACCAUUGUAUACUGGGUGUUAAAUUUAUAAUUUAGCACUGGACCGUGAGAUACUAUGUUCAGCACUGACGGACAAGACUGUGGAAAGUAUGCACUCGGCGCUGGACUUGGACCUGGAUUGGCCACCUAUUUUGGGGAGGAGGGUGAGUGUGAUUUAUUAUGUGGGAGCAUUUUUGAAACUGUAUGUGUGGGAAGAUGUGUGUUGCAUAGGUAAAUAGAGUAUACACUGGUUGCUUUGGGGCUGUCCAGCAGCCAUUCUUCUGAAUUACAGUAGAGCAUCAGAUCUGGGGAGAGAGACAUCCACUGAUCUCUACCCCUGCUCUUCUGGCUUCAGUUGGGCUAACUCUACCCGGGCUCUAGGAAUGGAAAGUGACCAGCCCUGGCCACUUAGAGCCUGCGGUUCCCUGGCUGCAGUGAUUGGUUCAGAGAUGAGCAUGUGACUACUUCGUACCAGGGAGGUGCCAUGAGACUUUUUCUAAGAUGUGUGGGGCUGGGACUGGUGGUAUGACAGCCACACUGUACACACACGGAGACUGAGAAUGAAGCCCGUGCAGUGAACAAGCUGUGAGAGGAGCCUGAGACUAAUGGAUAAAUUAGGAGUUUGGGAUUAACAGAUACACACUACUAUAUCCCACUCCUGGGCAUAUAUCUGGAGAAAACUCUAAUUCAAAAAGAUACAUGCAC